AGAGUUUGAUCAUGGCUCAGAGCGAACGCUGGCGGCAGGCUUAACACAUGCAAGUCGAGCGCCAUCUUCGGAUGGAGCGGCAGACGGGUGAGUAACGCGUGGGAACGUACCUUUUGGUUCGGAAUAUUCUCGGGAAACUGAGAGCAAUACCGGAUAAGCCCUACGGGGGAAAGAUUUAUCGCCAAAAGAGCGGCCCGCGUUAGAUUAGCUAGUUGGUGGGGUAAAGGCCUACCAAGGCUACGAUCUAUAGCUGGUCUGAGAGGAUGAUCAGCCACAUUGGGACUGAGACACGGCCCAAACUCCUACGGGAGGCAGCAGUGGGGAAUCUUGGACAAUGGGCGCAAGCCUGAUCCAGCCAUGCCGCGUGGAUGAUGAAGGCCUUCGGGUUGUAAAAUCCUUUCAACGGGGACGAUAAUGACGGUACCCGUAGAAGAAGUCCUGAUCGGG
rnacentral:rRNA from 1 species